AGCUGACCUCACCUCACCGACUCCCACCCGACAGAACACCCCCGCCAUCAGAACACCAGCUGGCGGGGGUGAACCUGAUGAGGAGGCUUGGUCUGGCCACCGCUCCGCCACCUGACGCCUCGUCUGGGCCCAGGAUCUCAGCGUGGCGAAGAGAGGACGUGUUGCCUUCUGUCUCAUGGAGGGAGGAGGAGAGCUGUGCUGGCAGAGUUCUGGGAGUAGUGAGAGGAUGAUGAGGGAUGAGAGGAAGGAGACUUGUAUAAUGAGACUGCUGAAGGAAGGAACUAAGGAAUGACUUAGACUGGCUACCUUGCAUUAUUCCUGCCUUCCCUCCCUGGUGGCGGCGAGCUGCAUGCAUGGUUGCCUGACCUUGCACUACAAAGAGUUGGCAAAAUAUCAUCAUUGAGUUGUCAGGACGAGAUAUAUGGUCACUUGAACCGAUACUCACUGCGGCUUUCCUUACUCUAACCAUUGGUCUUGAAAGCAGUCGCCCAAACCCUUUACUUCUCUAUAUUUCAGGGUCACGUCUGGCUCCAGCUGUGUGUGUGAUGGAUGGGCUGGAGUCGGCGACCAGCCACUGCUGCCCUUCCUCCCCGGAGUGGCGGCCCUCGCAGCCCCCAACUCCCCAGUCCAGCCCCAUGCAAACCACAACACCACGAUUGAGGGCGUACCGCUUCUCAACACAACCUUCCUGUCAUCCAGCAUGUUGGUCCUGCUUGGCUGAUCCUGGUCACUUUGGCAGCUUCUUGAGGGACCAGUGUGUGGGGCCAUAACAUGUUAGCCACCACCACCACCACCACCACAAGCAACAAGUACACCCCACACCACCUUUAUCCCCUCUUCUGCCGUCCUCUGGGACGCCCGCAUGCUGUGGCACCCCUACCCUGUGAGCCGCGGGACGGGGACACCCACACACCCACACAGCACACACACUCACGCACUCACACACUCUCGCUAACCCGCAGGAGUGGUGGUGCACCGCACGCUGCUCGGCGUCAUGACACAUGAAA